GUUUUUCUGUAUUCUCUCAUUUCGCAUGUUAUUUCAAAUGGCAAUUGAGAGAAUUAGAGAAAUGAUGAUAUAUCCCUAAAAAACCCGAAAUCUGUAUUUCUCCGACUGAAUAAUAAUGA